UACGGAGGGUGCAAGCGUUGCUCGGAAUCACUGGGCGUAAAGGGUGCGUAGGCGGUCUCGCAAGUCUGGCGUGAAAGCCCAAGGCUCAGCCUUGGAAGUGCGCUCGAAACGGCGAGGCUGGAGUGCCGGAGGGGAGAGUGGAAUUCCCGGUGUAGCGGUGAAAUGCGCAGAUAUCGGGAGGAACACCUAUGGCGAAGGCAGCUCGCUGGGACGUUACUGACGCUGAGACGCGAAAGCGUGGGGAGCAAACAGG
rnacentral:rRNA from 1 species